UAGUAAACAUCGUGAGCUACG
rnacentral:piRNA from 1 species